GAGACCUGUGUGAGGAACGGCGGGGGAGGAGGGUGCGCUGCAGCCGGAAACCACAGACCCCGCCUCCCACGCCCGGCAACGGAGUCCAGGAGCAGCGGCCCCCACCCCACUCCAGAGACAGAACAGGCGCUCGGGGGACAGGCACAGAGCCGGGCCUUGAUGUGUGUUUCCUGACUUGAUGACUCCCAGCAAGCUUGCCAGGACAUCUUGUGGACCAAGGACCCACAGUUCAAGUUCUCAAUCCUCACAGCACAAUACCUACCAUCUAAUACAAACACACACGUGGAUGCUGGGCUCAUCUGAGACAGGUAAUGUGCCGAUGUCGUAACAAGAUUUGGAGGGAGGCACAUGUCACGCAGCAGCGUGAGCACCCAAUCAUCAUGCUCAUGAACUACAAAAGGAUCUAAUUUUUGAAAAUUUAUAAAGUAGUAUACAUAAUGUGCUUGCUUUCCUGGAUACAUAUAUAUCAAUAACAAUUUUUUAAAAGGAUGUCCUUGAGGAAUGUCUAAUGCUCAGAAGAUAAAAACAUUAUGUAACAUAUAAAACUGACUAUAGGAUACAAUAUAUGUUACAGAAAAAAAAAUAGGACGUGAAUACACUAAAAUAUUAACAGUGGUCUUUCUCUCCAGGUGGUUGGUUUAUGGGACACUUUAUCGCACUUAAACUUCUUAAUCGCUAUCUACAUUUUUCUAAAUCCUUGAAAUCUGUGAUACAGAUGAAUACAAUAGCAUUUCAUGUAUAUUUUCUUACCUAAGGCCCACACCAACCGGUAAGCACAAUUCUUAUUUUUAUAGGGCUCAGGAGAGACGUGACCCAAGCACACAGCUAGUUAAUGGCAGGGCUGAAGUUUCAUUGGUCUUCUGCAUCCAAGCUUCAGGCACUUUCUAUUUCAACCCCCAGAUCUGACUGGACAGCUGGGAAAAGCCAAGCCUGAGAUAAUCAGACUGGAAACAAGAUGACAAGACUGAUGCGAGAUGAAAGUGCCUCCUUUCAAGGCCGGGUGGAGGGGGUAAGAUCCUGCUGGGAAGGAAUGCAGGAUGGAUGGGAUGGGUGACAGAGGGCUUCCUGAAGCCCCCAAGUGGGGGGCGGCCUUACCCAGCAAGCUCUCUCCUGAAAACUGGGUGCGUUCCCACCUUCCCUCCCUCUGACUUCCUCCUACUCGGACCAUCAUCAGGCCAGGGGUCUGUCCCAUGCCUUGCCAGUUGCUGAGAUAAAACCAGAGAGGAGGGCAUGUGACUCAGGCCCCCUCAGGCAGGCCGCAGGACAGGCCCGGGCAAGGCUGUGCCUGCCUGCACGGCCGGCCGAGGAGCCCCGGGAGGAGGGCUACGGAGACCAGAGGGAAAGCAGUCACACAGGACUGCAAAGACUCUGCAAUCCACCACCCCCCGCCACGCCCCCGCGCCUUUCUGCUGCCGCAGCCCCAGACGGUCCCAGACCCCACACCAGCCCCUCCACAUACACAACCAUUCAGGACCCCCAAAGAGCCAGUAAGGGCAGGGCAGACAUUAUCAAUCGCGGGGAGUGCUUUGAAGUGGUCAGGAAAGGAGGGCAAGAUAGGAAUCUGUGCACACACGGAGGAGGAGCUUCAGGAGGAAGGCAGCUAUAGCCUUGCCUCUGGGGGUCCUGCACGCGCUGUGGACUCAGCGCAGGCCUGGUGGGGGCCCAGGGACCCACACUUAGCAGGACAGAGCCUGUCACACUUCCACUUUCAAUCAGCCUUCGGAGAUUUCCAGACCAACCAGAGCUAUUUUAUGUACUUAGCAUUCAGAACCCACAUAGUCGUUUCACCAGAUGUGGCACAAAAUACAAUUAAUGGUAAUUACUCAUGUAAAUAGUGAACAACUGCAACCGCCUCAGACUGAUCAUCAUCUUAAUCAGGCCUCGCGUUUGGACAGUAUUUGACUUUUCAAAGUAUUUUCACAUGGGAUAUCUCACUCCCACGAGGAACGAGGGCUGUAUCAUCCCCUAAGAAAAGUGAAAAGAAGCUGGAAGAGAUGAAGACACUUGCCAAGGUCACGCAGAUGGCUUCCAGGACUAGAAACCAGGUCUGAUUCCUAGCCCACCCACCCCCCAGAUGUAAAACAGCUGGCUGAGGAGCUGCAGCUAGUGCAGCCUGUGUGCCCACGAGCCUGCGGGCCACAGUAGGAGAAGCCACGGCAACGAGAAGCCCGUGCACUGCCAGGAGGAGACUACAGAAAAACCCACACGGCAACGAAGCCCCAGCACAGUCAGACUCUAAUAAAAUUAUUGAAAUAAAAAAACAGGGCCUCCCUGAUGGCUCAGUGGUAAAGAAUCCCCCUACCAAUGCAGGUUCAACAGCUGGUCUGUGAAGAUCCCAGAUGCCACGGAGCAGCUAAGCCCGUGCACAGCUACUGAGCCUGUGCUCCAGAGCCCGGGAAUGCAACUCCCAAGCCCACGUGCUGCAACUCCUGAAGCCCGGGCACCCUCGAGCCCGUGCUCUGCCACAACAGAAGCUACUGCAAUGAGGAGUCCCUGCGCCGCCACCAGACAGGAGCCCGCGCCUGACGCAAAUAGAGAAAAGCCCAUGCAGCAGUGAAGACCCUGCGCAGCCAAAGACAAAUGAAUAAAUAAGAUGAAACAGCCCCCUCAGCAGAAGAGGGGAGGCCUUGAGGGAGGUGGCUGGCUUGGUACUCCCAGGGCAGGAAGGGACAGGAAGGACAAUGGCCUCCCGCAGCAGGAGGGAUCCAGGCACGGGCCUACCACUCCACCCCACUGUGGGC